rnacentral:rRNA from 1 species
GAUGAACGCUAGCGGCAGGCUUAACACAUGCAAGUCGAACGGAACUUGGGGCUUCGGUCCUGAGUUUAGUGGCGGACGGGUGAGUAACGCGUGAGCAAUCUGCCUUUCGGUGGGGAAUAACAGGGAGAAAUCGCUGCUAAUACCUCAUAAUGCAAUAGAGUCGCAUGGCUUUAUUGCCAAAGAUUUAUCGCCGAAAGAUGAGCUCGCGUCCGAUUAGGUAGUUGGUGAGAUAAAAGCCCACCAAGCCGACGAUCGGUAGCCGAACUGAGAGGUUGAACGGCCACAUUGGAACUGAGAUACGGUCCAG